rnacentral:ncRNA from 1 species
GAUUACAUUCCUUUCUGUGAUCGCGGCUG